UUUUGUCAUGGAAUAACUAGAGUCUACAUACAUUUGAAUAUUACAAGUUCUAUAUAAUUACCCAAAAAAAGGAUGUGACUGGUGUCAUACAUACACAAGUAGAAUACCAACUGGGAUUCUCGCAGCUGUACAUUUCUAUUCCCUCUUCCUUCAAGCUCUUAUUUUAAAACAUUUGAAUUAUCUGAAGUCAGCUGUUGAUGGACUCUUCAAGAUAAUA
rnacentral:lncRNA from 1 species